GAUUCUGGACAUUUUUUGUGGGCUAAAAUGGAUUCUAAUCACAGCGGUUAUAUUUCAUUGACGUCACCGACAUUUCAACCAGAUGUAUCGUAUUGUUUUAGUCUUUGGUAUUAUACGCCGGACCAAAACUUCAUCAGUUUAUUUGUUUUGGUAAAAUUCUUUCAAUAAUUGGUCUUAAAAUUGAUAUAAAUUGAAACAUGAAGAAAAAAGUAAAUCACAAAAAUACUGAAAUGACAAAACACAUAAAAAACGAAUGGAAAAAUAACUAUACAAAAAGUAAGCAUUUAAAAAACAUAUCUUUGAUUGUACUUUAAUGUGGUUUUUGGAUAGCAUUGGAGUGAUAUACACGAACAUACUUGUACAAAAUGCUAUAAGUUCAGAUCUAAAUGACGAAAAGGCAAACGAUGUGUAUACAAAAUCUAAUUUAAUGAUCGAAUGUUGUAUGUGAAAACAUGAUUUUGAUUAAGGGUGUCAUCAACAUUGAAUAUGAUACGCUCUUCUGUAUUGUAGGAGGAGAAAGUCAUGUAUAGCCUCAUACACGAGUAUCGUUUAGUGGCUAAAGUUGAAAAUGAAUGGACAAAAUUUCAAACAACUCUAAACCAUACAGAUUCGUUUAAAAUAAGGAUCGAAGCACAUAUUAUCGCACAUUCAAACAGACAACAGAGCCGAGUGUCCAUCGACAAUAUUGAAGUUGAAGGAGGACCUUGCAAUUAAAU
rnacentral:lncRNA from 1 species